UACCUUUGUAAUAUUUUUUCAGGAUGCUAGAAUUGUGUCAGGGAUAUCAUUUGAUAUAUCCAGAAUCGGCGAAGUUUUUUUAAGCGAGAGAGCUUUUAAAAGAUUGUGUAAUCUCCAAUUCCUCAGGGUGUUUAAGACUGGAUAUGAUGAAAAAAACAGAGUGCGCAUACCGGAGAACAUGGAGUUUCCACCUCGUCUAAGGUUACUACAGUGGGAAGCAUAUCCGAGGAGAAGUCUUUCUCUUAAACUUAACCUGGAAUAUCUUGUCGAACUUGAUAUGGAAGGUAGCCUGCUCGAGAAGCUAUGGGAUGGAACUCAGGUUAGUUAUCAUAAAUUCAUAUCUUUAAUGAUGUUAUACAUAUUUUCUCUCUAUUCUG
rnacentral:sRNA from 1 species